rnacentral:rRNA from 1 species
UACGAAGGGUGCAAGCGUUACUCGGAAUUACUGGGCGUAAAGGGUGCGUAGGUGGUUGUUUAAGUCUGCUGUGAAAGCCCCGGGCUCAACCUGGGAACCGCGCUUGAGACUGGCGGGCUAGAGUUCGGGAGAGGAUGGUGGAAUUCCCAGUGUAGAGGUGAAAUUCGUAGAUAUUGGGAAGAACACCGAUGGCGAAGGCAGCCAUCUGGACCGACACUGACGCUGAGGCGCGAAAGCGUGGGGAGCAAACAGG